UGGGGAAUAUUGGACAAUGGGCGAAAGCCUGAUCCAGCCAUGCCGCGUGAGUGACGAAGGCCUUAGGGUUGUAAAGCUCUUUUGGCGGGGAAGAUAAUGACGGUACCCGCAGAAUAAGCUCCGGCUAACUUCGUGCCAGCAGCCGCGGUAAUACGAAGGGAGCUAGCGUUGUUCGGAAUCACUGGGCGUAAAGCGCACGUAGGCGGAUUUGUCAGUCAGGGGUGAAAUCCCGGGGCUCAACCUCGGAACUGCCCUUGAUACAGCAAGUCUUGAGUUCGAGAGAGGUGGGUGGAAUUCCUAGUGUAGAGGUGAAAUUCGUAGAUAUUAGGAAGAACACCGGUGGCGAAGGCGGCCCACUGGCUCGAUACUGACGCUGAGGUGCGAAAGCGUGGGGAGCAAACAGGAUUAGAUACCCUCGUAGUCCCUGAGCGGGCUGGCAAGGCGCAU
rnacentral:rRNA from 1 species